rnacentral:rRNA from 1 species
UGGGGAAUAUUGCACAAUGGGCGCAAGCCUGAUGCAGCCAUGCCGCGUGUAUGAAGAAGGCCUUCGGGUUGUAAAGUAUUUUCAGUCGGGAGGAAGGUGGUAAGGUUAAUAACCUUAUCAAUUGACGUUACCGACAGAAGAAGCACCGGCUAACUCCGUGCCAGCAGCCGCGGUAAUACGGAGGGUGCAAGCGUUAAUCGGAAUUACUGGGCGUAAAGAGCACGCAGGCGGUUGAUUGAGUCAGAUGUGAAAUCACCGGGCUUAACCCGGGAAUUGCAUCUGAUAAUGGUCAGCUAGAGUAUUGUAGAGGAGGGUAGAAUUACAUGUGUAGCGGUGAAAUGCGUAGAGAUGUGGAGGAAUACCGGUGGCGAAGGCGGCCCCCUGGACAAAGACUGACGCUCAGGUGCGAAAGCGUGGGGAGCAAACAGG